UUGGCCAACGCUCCAGCCUCUCCGCUCCUGGCCACACAAGCAGGCGGAAGGUGGGGGGGGGGGAGGCUGCUGCUGCUGCUGUCGAAACGUGAUGAGGCGAUCCCUCGUUCCCUCUCUCGCUCUCUCCCCCCCCCACACUCCACGCCCGCCACCCGGGUCGCCGUCUGUGCGAUGUGCGUGGUCCGGAGGCAGCAGGCAAAAAGGGAAGGGAGGGAGCCGCCGCGUGGGUUUCCCUCUGGGGCACAAAUCUGCCCGCGGCGAUGACGACGACGAUUGUCCUCGGCCCCGCGAGCCUUUCACUUCAGCACGGGCGUCCGCGUGCUGUGGCGAAGAAGCAGGUUGGAUGUGCUGCUUCUUGGGCCGAGGUGUCUCCACUGCCAUAAUGAAUCCCCCCCCCCCGGCCCGGUAAAUGAAGAAGGCCUGCCUCCCCCCCCCCGGGGAAGAAGGGGGGGACCAGCCCAGCCCUUUUUCCUGGGAGACACGGGCACUUUUUCAGGAUUUCUCUUGGAAAUUCCCAGAAGCAAUAAGCAAGGAACUAGCUAAAAGAAGACGAUGCUGGACCUGGUGGUAAACUCUGCAAGAAGCUGGAUAGUGUGGAAAAACUUGUGAAGGACCCACGGAUUUGUAUUCAGAGCAUCCUGGGUUCAAAUCUCGAUAUUGGAUGUCUUUUAUUUCAGACCACAGAGAGGCAAUUGUGGCUUAACAGGACAAUUUUUUCUGACGUGAUCUGAAGCAUUUUCCUGUGCAGAGCUUGUAGGCCGAAUCAGACCAUGUUUUGAAAGCCAUGUGAUUCUUGGUGUGAUUGCUGAGAAUCAGGAUGUAAAGUAGUUGGAUAACCCACAAAACAUGCAAGAAAGUUCCCAGGGUAACUCAUCAAGAGACAUGAGUUUGCAGCAUCCUGUGGAUGAAUUUUCUUUCCAUUGAAGUCAGUGAGGUUAAUCAGGGAUUAUUGCUAAAACCAAAAUACUGGUGAUGAAACCACAGUACAGUGAUAUGUUCCACAAGACCAGAGUUGCUAGCUGAUUGAGUUGAUGUGGUAUUUGAGAACCACAUUGGUUUUAUUUCUUUACAAGUCUGAGCCUCUUAAGGAAAUCCCCACGGAGAAAGCAGGCAAAAAAGGCAGGGGAUUUUUGUCUUCUUUUUACCCUUUUCCCUUCACAUAUAUUCAUCUAAAUCUGUAGGCUCUCUGCUUCUUUCCUUCCUUCUUUCUGUAUCUCCCCCUUCUCACUCCAACUUUCUCUACCUCCCCUCACCCCAUACAUCUAGAGGACUCUUCAGUUCUAUGACUGAUUUCAAAUGACUUGUAGACCUGGAUUUGUCGAAGACAUCAGGACUGCCAUUAAUGUAGACAUUAGGAGAGCAUUAGGCUGUGAUGACCUUUUGUAAAGGGACUGAUAAAGGUACUUCUAUAAUCCAGAAUGGGGCUCUGGAGAAGAAUAUGUUUUUGGGUAUUUUUGCCUUAACUCAUCUUCAUUUAAGCAAAGAUGACAGAACUGCCGCUUGGGCAACAAUUAUACACCCACUGAUGGAAGGAAAGCCCCAUUGAAAUCUGUGAUGAUACAAUAAAAAUAUUGGGGCGGUUCUUGGCAUUUUUGUUUUUCAAUCUUAAGUAUUGCUUCCAGGUAUUCCAAUUGGAAGCAUUAUUUUAGUAGUAAUUUUAUGUUGCCAGGCAGGUGUGCAAGUUGUGCCAGGCAGAGAGGCGCUAUGACACAGGGAGAGCCAAAUUAAGUUUUAACAAUCAAUUCUCCAUUCUGAACACCAACUGUCUCUGCUCACUUACGUCAGAUUUCACUUGUUCCAAAAUGACUGCUAUAUCUCAAUUCAGAAAAAAAAACCCAUAUAUAUUGCGCAAUCUGAAACUGUCAGUGCUGCUAACAUCUUCCAGUGUGCAUAAUGCUUCAGUUCCAGGAAGGUAAGAAAUAUGACCCGUGCCAAGUCUUGUGCAGCGACAAAGUUGCCUUACAUGACAACAACCCUGUAAAUUGCUAUGCCUUAAUUUAAAAAGUAGCUUUAAGUGUCAUCAGCUACCUUUGAAAUAUUUACACUACAUCUUGAUCCUAUGAGAUUCUGAACAUAAAAGUGCUGUGGGAUAGUAUGUUAAUCAUGCAUUUCUCCUCUUCUUUUCAUUUUCUCUAAAGUAAUGUAAGUAAGACCCUGCACUCACAGAGAGCAAAGCUUAAUCCUUUUUUUUUCUCUAAUUAUCUCCUUCAUGAAUCCUCUCAAAAUCUCAAUGGACACUAAUUAAGAUUACCUUUUUUUUUUUUUGGUGGGUGGCAACUUUUAAAGAACUGAUCAGCUGAAGGAUUUAACCAUUCUAUCCCAUAUGUUUACUUUUGGAGUAAUUAACCUAGCAUGUAGUUUACAGUAGUCCUACUGUUAAUAGAAUCGGUUUGUUAAAUAUGUUAAUUUAGCAUGGAAUCGGAGCUAUUACAUCAUGCAGAGUCAUCUAUUGGAAUUUCAACAAAAGUUUGUUUUCCAUAAUUAUAUAGGAGCUGAAGUUGUAAAAGAAGUUUCUGCUUUCAUCCAGCAGCCAGUCCUUUGAAAGAAUAAUGCUUGCAAACGAUCUUGCAAUAUAUUUAGUUUUAAUGGCAAGCUCAGACUGAAGUGUUUUCAUUGCUUAGACAGGCUGGACUGUAGAAAUCUAGAUGACCUCUAGAAUGGCUGGAAAGACUAGAUAUUUUUUGCCAGCCGUAUAAGAUAGCCCUAGGUUAAGAAGUAAAGAAAUAAAAGCUCUUGCUCCUUUUUACCUACCAAUUUUCCCCCCACUGAGUUUUGCACACUAAUCAAUUAUAUCUACUAUUGUGACUGUUUCAUCCUUUUUUUUCCCCUCCAUCAAAUGGUUUAGGAUUAUUGAUCAAUGAUUGAGAGUAACCUCUCCACAUUUAUCUACUCAUACUAUCAUCACAACAAGACUAUCACUCCAAUCAACACUAUCCAUGGUGGCCAAAAACUGUUUGGAUAUGAGAUUUUAAUAUUAGUGGUAAACGAAAACAAGAGCUGAAAUAAAUGUUUUGCAAUAGAUUUGGAGAAAUAAAGCAAUUAGUAACCAAGUAGUCUCGACAAAAGUAAAGAUCACUGAAUUGAGAAGAAUGCUUUUUAAAAUCAGAGUGCCAGCAAUUUAGGACAAUGCAAUUUUGAAAGGAAUUUACCCUUCCUGUUCAAUUAAAGUCUGGUUUUAGUCUUUUAGAUGCUAUGUAUCCUCUGUAAACAUAUUAAAUAAAGUGACGCCUAGAUUGAAGGUAUAUUUACCGGAUAAGAAGUCUGAACUUUAGCACAGAGAAUUUGUCAAAGACUUUCCUAAUUCCCGAACAAAGACAAACUGCUGGCAGUCUAAGGUCAGCAAAUACAGUGUUGGAAUUGGAGCAGCUGAGGAGAAGUCUGAAGUUCAAAGGUUAAUGAAUCACAUAUCCUGAUGAAGAAAGAUGCUCAGAUAGUAGGGUUGCACUUCUAACACUACUGCUUCAGUUACACUCAUAGCCAAUAGGAUUUUUUUUAAAAAAAAAAACCAUUUUGGGUGAAUAUAACAUGUUUAGGGAGAGAGUCUCCUUUCUUAAUUCUUACAUUUCUGCUAAAAUGCCCCAGCAUACAAUGGAUUAAUAGAGAAAAUAUUCUGCAAUGGUAGUUUCUUAUUGGUUUACUACUGGAUAUCUAUAGAUCUAAUCUAUUUAACAGUAUAAUCUAUAAUUAGGCUUAAAGUUAUUCAAUUUAAUUCCUCUUAGGCAAGAGGAAUUGGUGCCUUUUCCAUUCUGAUACCAUCUAUAUGUGUUGAAAUUCCUGGUGGUCAUGUCUUAAGGUCUUACUGACCAGGAAAGUCCUGUGGCACGCGGUAAUUGUUCCUGCUAGUUAUAAUUUCUCAUGGUGAAUCAUUAAGCCAUCCACACCCUGGAAGCCACACAUUCAGUGUUAGACUAAAGGAGUCAAAAAUAACAUUCCAAAAGUACAAAAAUGAUAUAUUGAUAAAUAUAUAUUCAUACAUUUGAAUAUUAAUAUUCAUAAUGAGCCUUGCUGGCACAGUGGUUAGAAUGCAGUAUUGUAAGCGAAUUCUGUUGACUGUCAGCUACCUACAGUUCGGCAGUUUGAGUAUCAGGGGCUCAAGGUUGACUCAGCCUUCCUUCCUUCUGAGGUCAGUAAAAUGAGGACCCGGAUUGUUGGGGGCCAUAGGCUGACUCUGUAAACUGCUUAGAGAGGGUUGCAAAAUAUUGUGAAGUGGUAUAUAAGUCUAAGUGCUAUUGCUGUAAUAGCUGAAAAAAGAUGAAAAGUAAACAGAAGAUAGAGAAAUUGCUCAAUUAAACACUUGUUCCAGAGAACAGCAAGAAAAAAAAAACAAUUUAUAUUUAAAUAAGCAAUACAAAGAAAUUGACUAUUGUAAUUAAAUAGGAGGAUCAGAGAUUUAUUUAGGAACAUUGCAGAAAUCAAAGGACCUUUUAAUGAAAAUGUGGCUAUAAUAAAAGACACAGAAGAUGAAUAUCUACUGGAGAACUAUUGUAUAAAGAUCACAUAGAACGAGCACCAUGGAAGAAUUGGACAUCAACAGUAUGUAUGAUGGUUUGAUUACUGAACGAGAGCCAGACAUUCUGUUUUUCAGAAUUGUUUUAUUUUGUUCUUCAAAAUAUUGCCAACAACCUCAGUUGGCCAAUAAAUGAACAGCUUGCCUCU